GAUCAAUAAUAUGACAAAGUAAAUUAAUAUUGUUUGUUUAUUGCCAUUUCUACAAACACUUAUGUUUCCCUUGCUCUAAGAGGGAUGGCUUGAGCUCUAUUAUUGUUUGAUUAUAAUCUUUCCCUUUUGGCUAGAAACACUUCAGUCAGCCAGUGAGAUGUCAGGACUGUGGCAUAGUCUGACUUCUACUGUGACAUAAUAUCUUUCCGGAAACACUUCUUUCACUUUAACUUCUCGGGACAUCUUGAGUUUUGUUAAAGAAGAGCUUGUGGCUGGUACGCUAAAGCAGUGGCGGAGCGGUGCAGAGCUUUUUGAAACAUUCUCAUUGGAAACAUAUUAAUAAUAUUUAUUUGUAUCUAACUUUAACUUUAAUUUCCUGACAAUCUGUACAGUAAUAGCUCAUUAAAAUAAUCAUGGGCAUAGCCAAGGUCAAUAAUAACUAGAAUGUAGUCUCGUUUUUUUCAAGACUUGUAAAGAAAAUUCAAAUAUUGGAAAAAUAUGACCAAUAUUUAUUUUUAGCCGACUUUAACUUUAAUUUCCUGACAAUCUGUGCAGUAAUAUCUGUUGAAAAUAAUCAUGGACAUAGCAGAGGCCACCAAUAACAACAAUGCAGUGUCAUUUUUGUUAAGACUUGUAAUGAUCUGCUUUAAAGAAAUGUCAAAUAUUGGAAAAUUAUUGAUAUUAUUUUCUUUAUGUCGUGCUUUAAUUUGGAAAUCAAAUGUCAGAUUGUCUCUGAGUGACACCGUGAGGUGGUCUCCACACAAUACCUGUGGACGAGUCAGACUGUCUGAAACCAGCUGGACCCGCCACACCAACAGUUGUUUCAACUGAUCCUGACCCAAAAGUGAGGACACCCAGCAGCCCUGCUCCUCCUUCACCCCCUGGUAUGUCCUCUGUGAGGACACCCAGCAGCCCUACUGGGAACUAUGGCAUUGCAGAAGAUGCUCGGAGGCUACGGCCCACAGUCGCCUCGACUGUCCCCGAAUAAACGGCAAUAAGCGAGACAAUGUCUCGUAGCGCUCCUGGCCCAGGGUCGCUACAUGUUGUAUUCAUUAUAAUGCAUUGGACGAGUCCAAUGUGGAGAUGAAAUGAAAAUAUAAAAUAUCUUGACUAUAUCUGGAAAUAUUUUAGUGUACAGAUGCUUGCUGUUUAAUUUUAAGUUUGCCGACAGGAGGAACGAUGUACUCGUUCAUGUUUUCUGGACAUAUUUCUGACACUGAAGGUGUAUUUUUUUACAUUAAAAAAAAUGUAUACACAG